rnacentral:lncRNA from 1 species
UGGAUGGAUGGAUGGAUGGAUGGGUGGAUGGAUAGGUGGGUGGGUGGAUGGUAGACAGAUGGUGGAUGGAUGGAUGGAUGAGUGGGUGGGUGGAUGGUAGACAGAUGGUGGAUGGAUGGAUGGAUAGGUGGGUGGGUGGAUGGUAGAUGGAUGAUGGGUGGAUGGAUGGAUGGUGGAUGGUUGGGUGGAUGGUGGAUGGUAGAUGGAUGGUGGAUGGAUGGGUGGAUGGUUGGGUAGGUGGAUGGUGGA